GACGAACGCUGGCGGCGUGCUUAACACAUGCAAGUCGAACGGAAAGGCCCUGCUUUUGUGGGGUGCUCGAGUGGCGAACGGGUGAGUAACACGUGAGUAACCUGCCCUUGACUUUGGGAUAACUUCAGGAAACUGGGGCUAAUACCGGAUAGGAGCUCCUGCUGCAUGGUGGGGGUUGGAAAGUUUCGGCGGUUGGGGAUGGACUCGCGGCUUAUCAGCUUGUUGGUGGGGUAGUGGCUUACCAAGGCUUUGACGGGUAGCCGGCCUGAGAGGGUGACCGGCCACAUUGGGACUGAGAUACGGCCCAGACUCCUACGGGAGGCAGCAGGGGGGAAUAUUGCACAAUGGGCGGAAACCUGAUGCAGCAACGCCGCGUGCGGGAUGACGGCCUUCGGGUUGUAAACCGCUUUCGCCUGUGACGAAGCGUGAGUGACGGUAAUGGGUAAAGAAGCACCGGCUAACUACGUGC
rnacentral:rRNA from 1 species